rnacentral:rRNA from 1 species
CACGUAGGGUGCGAGCGUUGUCCGGAAUUAUUGGGCGUAAAGCGCACGUAGGCGGCUUUGCAAGUCCCAUGUGAAAGCCCACGGCUUAACCGUGGAAGUGCAUGGGAAACUGCAGUGCUUGAGUACUUAAGAGGAUCGCGGAAUUCCCGGUGUAGAGGUGAAAUUCGUAGAUAUCGGGAGGAACACCAGUGGCGAAGGCGGCUACCUGGACCGGUUCUGACGCUGAGGCGCGAAAGCGUGGGUAGCAAACAGG